rnacentral:rRNA from 1 species
GUCGAGCGAACAGACGAGGAGCUUGCUCCUCUGACGUUAGCGGCGGACGGGUGAGUAACACGUGGAUAACCUACCUAUAAGACUGGGAUAACUUCGGGAAACCGGAGCUAAUACCGGAUAAUAUAUUGAACCGCAUGGUUCAAUAGUGAAAGACGGUUUUGCUGUCACUUAUAGAUGGAUCCGCGCCGCAUUAGCUAGUUGGUAAGGUAACGGCUUACCAAGGCGACGAUGCGUAGCCGACCUGAGAGGGUGAUCGGCCACACUGGAACUGAGACACGGUCCAGACUCCUACGGGAGGCAGCAGUAGGGAAUCUUCCGCAAUGGGCGAAAGCCUGACGGAGCAACGCCGCGUGAGUGAUGAAGGUCUUCGGAUCGUAAAACUCUGUUAUUAGGGAAGAACAAAUGUGUAAGUAACUAUGCACGUCUUGACGGUACCUAAUCAGAAAGCUACGGCUAACUACGUGCCAGCAGCCGCGGUAAUACGUAGGUGGCAAGCGUUAUCCGGAAUUAUUGGGCGUAAAGCGCGCGUAGGCGGUUUUUUAAGUCUGAUGUGAAAGCCCACGGCUCAACCGUGGAGGGUCAUUGGAAACUGGAAAACUUGAGUGCAGAAGAGGAAAGUGGAAUUCCAUGUGUAGCGGUGAAAUGCGCAGAGAUAUGGAGGAACACCAGUGGCGAAGGCGACUUUCUGGUCUGUAACUGACGCU